rnacentral:lncRNA from 1 species
GGCCGCGCGAACGCAGGCCCCCACUACCACAAAUUAUGACGUAGGCUCUCCCAGCUUUGGGGAGACCUUAGGCCAGCACCCCUCCGAAGUGCAAUGGAGGUCACUAACCUAGGCCAUGAGUCUUCUUGAUCGCCCAUUGACCCCGUCCAGGUAAGUAUGUUUGUCCGUUGCUUUAGGCCUUUUAUUUAUAAGCUAACUCUUGCUCUCUUCGUUCUUACCUAGUCGAUGUGGGUUACAAGUUCAACUUCCACAUAGCAAAAGGCAUCCUUGAUAGAAUCAUUUGAAUAACCAAAUAUUUGUUUGGAAACGAGUUGUUUAUGCAAUUAACGCCUCACAAAUCUGAAUUUGCAGACCAAAAUGUUCAGAAAGUAGGAAAUCAUUUUGCAAUCUGUUGUUUCCUAAAAGCAGAUUACUUAUGUCGGGGAGUAUCAAUUAUUGCAGACAGAAAAUGGGGGACUCCACUAUGAGUGUUGUGGCGUAAGGCAGUGUAAAUAUUCAUUAUGUUAUAAUAUCAGAAUCUAAAUUUGGCUACAGGAUUGCUUAUUCUGAACUUCAAUUAUUAGUUGAAUGAAACCAAAAUAAAAAAGAAAAGAUCAAAUACUAUUCCAUUCUGAGUGUGUCAAGCUUCAGCUUUUGCAUAAUGGAGAAUGAUGCACUUCCACUAUCAAGAUAAGCGAAAAAUAUUAUAAAUUUGCACUCCUGUCACAUCUUUUCCUCAAGCAACUGCUACUGCUUUCAGGCAUCAGAGUAAUAUUGGGUUCUCAAUUAUUGCGAUAGUUAUGUUUCUCUUAAAUCGGUCCUUGGUUAAUGUUUUCAAAAAAAAAAAAAAGCUAAGCUUCUUUUGCUGCUUUUUUAGUAAUUUGAUAGUAUCUUUGAUGGUUUGAUAUAUUCAAUCAUUAUUCUUGAAUAGAUGAUUUUUCUCUGUUUCUGUUUUGAACUUUGCCAUUUCUUUCUUAUUUGAAGAUUCUUUCAACUAGCCCAUUUAGCUAGAUUGGUCUUCUUGCAUCAUCUCAGUGAUAAGUGCAAAACUGUGUGAUCCAUUUAUUUGUUGGGUGUAAUGUUUCUGAACUGAUAGAUCAUAAAGGAUUGCAAUUCUUUUCUACAUAACAUGCAAAUUAGUUGCACAUAUUUGUUCUCUGGCAGGUUAGCUAGAAAAGAUGGAGGAAAAGUGUGCAAUCAAGAAAGAUAUUACUGAAGUAAUUUAUUUUCUUCAUAAUCACUUGUACUUUUCACAUAAACAACAGUCUUUAAGAAAAACAGCAAUCUUGCUUAUGGCCAUUAUCUUUCACUUAUGGGGUCUUCUGCAGUUAAUAGGCAAUACACCUAUGGUAUAUCUCAACAAUAUAUUGGAAGGUUGCGUAGCUCGAAUAGCUGCCAAGCUUGAACACAUGGAACCUUGCUUCAGUGUUAAAGACAGGUCAACCCAACUUGUUUCAUUCAAAAUCUUAGUUUUAUCUUGUACAUGUUCCUCUUGUCAAAUUGCUGGUUUUCACCUUUUUCAUCUGUGACAUGCAGGAUUGCAUAUAGUAUGAUCAAAGAUGCAGAAGAAAAGGGCUUGAUUACACCAGGGAAGGUUUGUAAUAAUACUUCGUGAUUUUUGUUUUUUUAGAAGAAAAGAUAAGAAAAGAGAAAUGUGUUAUUUUAUUCACGGAUGAUGGAAAAUUGCUACAUUUGUCACAUUGAUAUAUCUACUUAUUGGCCAUCUCUACUAUGAAACUGCUGCUGUUUCUGGUUCUGUUGGUUCUAAAAGAGCGUCCUCAUUGAGCUUACAAGUGGUAACACUGGGAUUUCAAUGGCAUCCAUUGGGGCAGCAAAAGGUUACAAGACUAUUCUCGUUAUGCGAGCUUCAAAGAGUAUUGAGAGAAGAAUAGUGCUAAGAGCUUUGGGAGCUGAGGUUUACCUAACAGAUCCAGACAAGGGUUUUCAAGGUGUUCUUGAUAAGGCCAAAGAGAUUCUGAAUAGUACACCUAAUGGUUAUAUGCUUGAUCAAUUUGAAAAUCCUGUCAAUAUAAAGGUAAUGUUUUUAUCUAUAUUUGUGAUAUGUACUAGUGUUUGAAAGGAUUUAGAAGUAAAUAUUUGUUCUCAGGUUCAUUAUGAAACCACUGGCCUGGAGAUCUGGAAGGAUUCAGGAGGUAAAGUUGAUGUUUUGGUUGCUGGGAUUGGGACUGGCGGUACAGUAACUGGUGCAGGGACAUUCCUGAAGGAAAAGAACCCAGAUAUUAAGGUAUUCUUUGUUUUACUUGUGCUUGUGCACAAAAAUCUUGCUGUUCUCCAGGUUUAAUUAUUUUAUGAAGGUAUAACUUUCAUUUUCUUGCAUUAGGUUUAUGGUGUAGAACCAGCAGAAAGUGCAGUCCUGAAUGGAGGAAAACCUGGUAAGUUAGUUCAUGCUUGCACUUUCUGUUUGUCCUUUGACAAAUUCCUGGUUUAGUCAUAAAAUUGAUGGCACUCAGUCCUUUGAAGGUGAGAUUUUAAAGUAAAGAUUCCUGAGCAUAUAUCAGACUUGUAUACUUCUUAAUUCUGCUGCAAAAUUGACUUGGAAAUUGGCAAGAUUCUCGUGAUUUUAUCAUCACUGAAAUGGAUACAUUGCCUUGUGUGCGUGUCAAAGGUAAACAUCUAAUUGAUGGGCUAGGUGCUGGAAUUGUACCUCCUCUUCUGGAUGUUGACAAGCUUGAUCAAGUUAUUCAAGUAAGUGUAACAGACUCUAAAUUCUUCUAUUCUUUCUGCUAUGAUUGCCAAGUCAUAUACAGUGAGAGAGACCUGCAACACUAUCAGAAAUUGUAAAUAUUGUUUUGUGUCUUUAAUAAUUCGUGUCUUCUACCGCACGGACAACCAGAUUUUAGAUUGUAAUGGAGACAUCAACUGCUUGCUGGUUUAUGAUUUUGUUUAGAAUUAUAUUACUCGAGUUUCCUGGUGUUGUGUUACAUUUUAGGUAUCAAGCGAGGAAGCUAUUGAAACUGCCAAGCAACUUGCUUCAGAAGAAGGAUUAUUGGUAUGAUUACAGCUACUUAAGAUUUAUCUUCAUUCAAUGUUCUCUUUACUUAUUUAUUUAUUUUUCUUUUUGUACUUCAAAAUUAUUAAAUCUUUCUUUCCUCCACAGGUGGGAAUAUCAUCUGGGGCUGUAACAGCUGCUGCUUUAAAGUUGGCAAAGAGACCGGAAAAUGCUGGGAAGCUCAUUGUAGUAAGUCUCAUUAGCACUACUACCAUACCUAACUUAUGAAUAUGGAGUGGUGGAUUCUGUAGCAGUAAGCCAUUUGACUUGUUUGCUGUUGUGGCAGGUGAUUUUCGCCAGUGCUGGGGAGCGUUAUCUGUCAACUAAGUUGUUCGAGUCGUUUAGGCAUGAGGCAGAAAACAUGACCUUUGAUUAGGAUAACUUUGAUUCCUGAAACGAACAGAGUAUGAUCAAGAACUAAUGUAGUAGCUGUAAGACCCUGAUUAGGUCUAGUUUCAGGAGGAUUUAUCUUUUCCAUUGUAUUGUUUGGAAGAUGCUUAUAUUAUAUGUAGGACAUUGUAGAUUUGGAAACUUAUCAUCAGGGAACACCUGUAUGUUUGGGACAGAUUGAAGAAAUAUCUGAAGUUGCUAUCCACUCAGCUCUGAUGUUCAUUGCAGUGUUACAUUAAAAAAGCUUUUUUUUACUUAGUUUCAAGAUGUUAAUUACUCUCAAUUUAUAAGAUUAAGAAAAAUCACAGUACAUUUAUCAAACCUAUUUAAAAAGAUUACUAAAGAACCUUAUUCGCUGGCCAAUCUACUGUCCAAUUUUAUUCUCUGAACAAACAGGGACUUUCCACCACUACCUCCAAAUAAGAUUAGGGCAAGCAUUAAGAAAAGAUGGCCGUAUAUAAAUAAACACAUUAAAUGGUAACUUUAGAUAUAAGGAAGCACCUAAAUUGUUUUCUUUUACUGGGGCCAAUCAACCAAAAACAGAUUCUUUUUAUUGAUUAAAAACAUCCAAAAAUAUGAAAGAUGAUUGUUUGUCUGUUAGUGGCAGCAGUUGAGUUGACUUAUACCAGAUAAAAAGAAAAAGCUGAAAGUGGUGAAACAAAUUUAGCAAUUAGUGCACUUGCAUUAUCUGUAAAGAGAAAGCUGCCAAGGAGUUCAUGGUUAGGAUUCUUGCUCUUUAUGCUAACUUAUCUUCCUUCUUUUGGCUUAGUUGCCUGCAAGUAAAGUUGGGUUGCCACUCAAGUCAUUACUGUUUGACGUGUUUGUGGCGAUUGGGUUCUUGAUAAUUUAAUUCCCUUAUUAUAUCCGCUCUUGCAAAGUUGACAUUUCUUGGUAAUUUUUCUGUUUUCCGGUGAUUUUGGUAUUUCUUGCAAAAUCGCUUAAAGGGUUUAUAGUCUUGUACGUCAUUUGUGUCUCGGAGCUGCAGUUUUGGAGCUCUUUUAUUAGCACCUUUAGCAAAAUUGGCCUUCUUGCAUCAUUCAUUAGCUUAUCUACUGAAGGAACACAUAAUUCAUCUACUGCUUAGAUUUCUUAAAAAAUAACUUAGUUCUUAGAGCUAGGAAUCUGCCUAUAUAUGGAAACCAACCAUGCUUGCAGAAUGUUCUCUAAUUGCUAUCCAUAUAUGAUUUCUUUUUUCUUUUUCUUUUCCAAAAUGUUCACUUCUUUCCAUCUCGCAGGAUUUAUAGAAAAGAAUGGAGGAUAAGUGUGCAAUCAAGAAGGAUGUUACUGAAGUACUUUUCUCUAUUCGUGAUUUACCUAUAGUCUCCACUUUAAAUCUUGUGCUAAAAAACAACAAUCUUGCUUAUACUGUGUAUUUUCCCUUUUUAUGGCCUUUUGUAGUUAAUAGGCAAUACCCCUAUGGUGUAUCUCAACAAUAUUUUGGAAGGUUGUGAUGUCCGAAUUGCUGCAAAGCUUGAGAAUAUGGAACCUUGUUACAGUGUUAAAGAUAGGUAGAUAACUUGUGUCAUUCAGAGGUUUAUUGUAUCUAAGUACAUGUUCCUCUUGUCAGUUUGCUAAUUUUCAUCUAGAAUUAUAUAGUUGGUUUUCAUCUAUGAUAUGUAGGAUUGCAUAUAGUAUGAUCAAAGAUGCAGAAGAGAAGGGCUUGAUUACACCCGGGAAGGUUUGUAAUGAACGUUCAUUUCUACUGAUUCGUUUUUAUACUGGUACGAAAUUCAUUGGUCAAAUUAGAAAAGAAUAAAAAGGAACAUGAAACAUCCGGAGUUACAUGAAUAACAGAGUACAGAUUCUUAAUUUAAGUAAGUAGUUGAAUAUGCCAUGUGAAUAUUCCAGAGCUUUUUUGUCAUAUGCGGGCAAUUUCCAGAUUGAUGCUUAUGGGUUAUUUCUACUAAAAUUUGCUGUUGUUUUGGCUCCUUUGGUUUAAAUGUGGCUGAAGACUGUCCUUGUUGAGGUUACCAGUGGUAAUACUGGGAUUGCAAUGGCAUCCAUUGCUGCAGCAAAAGGUUACAAGAUUAUCAUAGUCAUGCCAGCUUUUAAGAGUCUCGAGAGAAGGAUUGUGCUACGAGCUUUUGGAGCUGAGUUGCACCUAACAGAUCCAAACAAGGGCUAUGAUGAGAUUCUUAAGAAGGCUGAGGAGAUAGUGAAAAAUACACCAAAUGGUUAUAUGCUUCAUCAAUUUGAGAAUCCUGCCAAUCCAAAGGUAUUUUAUCAUCAAUUUUUUGUAAUAUUCAUCAUUUGUCAAAAAGACUUAGGACUCAUACUGCUAUGAUAUAUGUAGAUUCAUUAUGAAACCACCGGCCCAGAGAUUUGGAAAGACUCAGGAGGUAAAGUUGACGCCUUGGUUGCUGGGAUAGGGACUGGUGGUACAGUAACUGGUGCAGGAAAAUUCCUGAAGGAGAAAAAUCCAGACAUUAAGGUAUUCUUUAUACUCAUGCACAUAAUUAAAGAGCCUGAUCCUCUUUAGUUUUAAUUAAUAUAUCACGGUAAAACUUUCUUUCGUCCUAUGUAGGUUUAUGGUGUAGAACCAGCAGAAAGUGCAGUCUUGAAUGGAGGAAAACCUGGUAAGUUAUGAACCACUUCAUAUUUGCUCUUUCUUCUUUCUAAACGAUAGCUGCAUCCUUGCAUACAUUUUCUGGUUGUGGAGCUUGGGUCCAAUUGCAUGAUGCAAGUGUUGCAGGUCAGGUAUUCAUCACUUUACAAGAAUAUGAGAAAUACUUUUAGGAGUGUCAAUUAGUUUUUUUUUCCCCUACUGAAUGGUCUCUUGUGAUGACAAAAUUACUAAGUAUUGAGUGGCAAUGCAUUUUAUAGACACUAUAUAUAGAGAAGAUGAAAAACCUUCAAAAUGAAGCAUUUUUUGGUUACAUCAGCAAAGAGUUACUUCCAGCAAACCCUUGUUUCAAACUGAUGCAUUUUCUCCUGCAUAGAUUGAAUUAUUGUUUCAUUAACAGAUAAUGUAUAAAAUCUCUAGUUUGGAGAAGUCUUAGACAAAAUGAAGACUCUGGAGCAUCGACCAGACUUAUAUGCUUGCUAGUUCUGUUACUAGAAUGAUGUUCACUUUGUCAAUUUGAAGAUUGGCAACAUCCUCAUGACUCUUAUCACCUCCAAAAUCUUUGUGUGUGUGUUGAAGGUCAUCAUAGGAUUGAAGGACUAGGUGCUGGGGUUGUACCUCCUGUUCUGGAUGUUGGCAUGCUAGAUGAAGUUGUUCAAGUAAGUCAAAAACCCUGCUAUAGUUUGCUUUUAACUGACUUUUUAAAUUAACUGUUAGUAACUUUGUAUUUGUACAACGAGAGAGGCCUAUGGCAUGAUCAGAAUUUGUAGGUAAGGCUCGUCUUCUGAAUCAAUGUCCUCAAUAGAUGGACAAGCAAAAUUGUGGGUCGUAAUGCAGAUUCUUAGUGUAAGAAGGUCGAUAGUUGAUGACUGUUAAUAAUACUUGACAUUUAAUGUAUUGCUGUAACAUUGUAAUUAGGUAUCAAGUGAGGAAGCUAUUGAAACUGCUAAGUUGCUUGCUUUGAAANNNNNNNNNNNNNNNNNNNNNNNNNNNNNNNNNNNNNNNNNNNNNNNNNNNNNNNNNNNNNNNNNNNNNNNNNNNNNNNNNNNNNNNNNNNNNNNNNNNNNNNNNNNNNNNNNNNNNNNNNNNNNNNNNNNNNNNNNNNNNNNNNNNNNNNNNNNNNNNNNNNNNNNNNNNNNNNNNNNNNNNNNNNNNNNNNNNNNNNNNNNNNNNNNNNNNNNNNNNNNNNNNNNNNNNNNNNNNNNNNNNNNNNNNNNNNNNNNNNNNNNNNNNNNNNNNNNNNNNNNNNNNNNNNNNNNNNNNNNNNNNNNNNNNNNNNNNNNNNNNNNNNNNNNNNNNNNNNNNNNNNNNNNNNNNNNNNNNNNNNNNNNNNNNNNNNNNNNNNNNNNNNNNNNNNNNNNNNNNNNUGCAGUGCUGGGGAGCGUUAUCUGUCCACUAAACUGUUUGAAUCCCUUAGGCACGAGGCACAGAAUAUGCCCUUUCAUUAACAUCAUGUUGGUUCCUUCCUGAAAUGUAAUGGUACAAGCAGUACCAUACUUAGAUUAAUUCUUUGUUUUCUAGCACAAGCCCUGAAUGGGAUGUGUUAUUAUUGCUGAAAUAUGUAUUUGUAAGUAAUUAUGGACUUAUCCAGGUUAGGGCUCCAUCAUCCAAUAUGCAAUGAGAAGUGAACGGGUUGUCGAAGCCCUUCAAAAUAAAUUACUGAUUUUCUUAAACUAAUUUGUAAAAAAAGUGAAACCAGGUCGAAUCCCAAGAGAACCAAUGUGAAUAACGGGUUGUCGAAGCCCUUCAAAAUAAAUUACUGAUUUUCUUAAACUAAUUUGUAAAAAAAGUGAAACCAGGUCGAAUCCCAAGAGAACCAAUGUGAAUAGCUUCUCAAAGUAAAUUAAAAGGGGGGUUUUUGAAUGUUUGAAUCAAAAUUAUAAAUAGGCAAAAAAUAAUGAAGGCUGAAUAUUUAAAGUAAAUAAAAAUCAAUCUUAACAAAUUUCCAAUUCAAGAGUGUUGAUUCCAUCCAAUUGUAAUCAUGAUCAUAGGCUAAAAUAUCAAUUCUUCUAUUCAAGUACUUAGUCUACUUAUUCAAAAAAGCCGCAACAAGUGUAAUUCUCCUAAUAUAGUUGACUUGAACCCAACAUCCAAAUCAAAACUUACCAUUAGUCAACUGGGCACGAUAGCGUUCCAUAUCAACUUAAUAAUAGCAUUAAGAAUAAUGAGAAUGACUAAACCAACAUUAAUUUAAUUGAGAUAACUGCAAUUGAAAUAAUCUUGUUCUUUUAUUUUCCUAGAGCCUAUCAUGCAAGCUAUGUAAUUCGAAUAAGCCGUAAUCACACACACAUGAGCCAGCUCCUUGCUACUUGUGUCAAUCGUUCAUGACAAUUACGGAUCACAAACUCAAAGUUUAGCAAUAGAAAAAUCAAUAUCAAAGUUGAGUCGUCAGUUCAAUCAAUAUCAAUAAUUCAUAAAUAAUAAGAACAAGAAAUAAAGAAUACUUGAAUUAAAGAAGAAUUUUAUUAAGCACAAAGCCUCACAAAAUCACAAUUGGAAUUUAUUCACUCUUGAAUUAGAAACUAAAAACUUAGUCACUCAUGGUGGAGUAAGAAUUCACAAGAAUUGUAGAGAGUAGAAGAAGAAAUAAGAAUAUGAAUAUCAAUUUGAAUCUGAAUCUGAAUCUGAAUCUGAAUGCCUCUGCUCAAAGUAUCUAGCCGUCCUUAUAUAGGAAGUAAAAUCCUAAACCUUAAUGGAAUCCUUAUCAAAAAAAAAUAAGCUUCUUAUUUAAUCUUAUCCCUACAAGAAAGGAUAAGAUUAAAAGUGAUCUAAAUAAAUUAAAACCCUAAAUACAUAGAAGAAAGUUCUAUUAAUCCAACACUUUCAAAAAUAGAGGAGAUUAACUAGGGAUAAGUCCACCACAAAUUAAUCUCUGAAAAUUUCGAAGCUCUCUUUCACAUCUUUUAGCAGCUCAUGGGAUGCAAGGCGUGGUCACGCCUUGUUGACAGUAGUCUUCUGCACAGAGUUCUGCACUUCCUCCAAAAGAUUUUGUUUUUGACAAAAUGAUGACUUAAAACAUGUCUUUAGGCUAGAUUUUGCUCCAUCCUUGAUAUUUCAUCACCUAAGUUAGAAUAAACAUAAUUUCCAUAAUUAAGUACAUUAUUCAACCAAAUCGCAAAGGAAUUAAACACAAUAAAUAUAACUAUUUUUGACCUAUGAAGAAGCCACACGGACAAUAAUAAUAAUAAAAUCCAUCCCUGCAAAUUAGUCUUAUCCAAUCUUUUAUUUUGUCACGGUUGACCAAAUAGUGAAAAAAUAAUCACAAUUUGGACAAGAAAUUAUCAAUCAAUGAUAUUUCUGACUUUAAUGUUCAUAUCCAGCACUGCUUCUCUGAUCUCUAUUAAUGUUCACUGCUUCUGUCUUUAGCCAACAAGAAAAAGAGAAUCUUGAUUCUUGACUAUGACACGGACAGCUGAAGUAAUAAGUCUUGGGACUACCUCCUUAAAUGGAUGGGACAUGCAAUUUAUAGAUUGUGGCUAUCUAAUGAAAUGGACAGCACAUGCAUUUACAGACAAAGCAACUAAUCUUGCAUGUGCAUAUAUUAUAUAUAGACAGAGUUUACAGAUUGCACACGCAAUAUAUACUUGUAGAUUUGCUUUAUAUCUGGUAAUAUUUAUAAUCUUUUACUGCUGCUAUUGUUGAGUUCAUUUCAGUCGACGUUGUAUUCUUGUCUUCUUCUUCUUCUUCUUCUUCUUCUUCUUUCUCACUUUCUCUCAGCUUCCUGCAAAUCCAGUCACAUUUUUCUGCUUGCAGACUGCCAAGAAAGAUAUGGAGAACAAGUGUGGAAUCAAGAAAGAUAUUACUGAAGUAUAUUUUAGUCAUCUUUUUCUAUAGUUUUUGACUUUGGAAUACCAAUAACUACUGCUUCUAAUAAUGUUCAUCUUCUUCUAUUUUCAUCUUGACUUGUGCAGUUAAUAGGAAAUACCCCUUUGGUAUAUCUGAAUAAGGUUGUGGACGGCUGUGUAGCUCGCAUUGCUGCAAAGCUUGAAAUGUUCGAACCAACCGCUAGUGUGAAAGACAGGCACUCUUUCUUUCCACCUGUUUGUGUUUAUUCUUUUCCUAUUAUGGAAAAUAAACAAGUCUUUAUUGCUGAACUGAUGUCAUACAUUUUCAUUUUUGCUUAUGCAGAAUUGCAUACAGCAUGAUCCGGGAUGCAGAAGAUAAGGGCUUAAUUACUCCAGGGAAGGUUAGUCAUGAGGCCUUGCUAUAUAUUCAUUCUUUUUUAAUAAAAUAUCAAAGUCAAAUGAAGGAAAUAUGGAUUUCUGAAAGGUGUUAAAAUGAAGGAGAGAUUAACAAUUGUUUUCCUUUUGUUCCUAUUGCUGUUUAAAAUAUGCUGCCUAAAGACCGUCCUAGUUGAACCCACGAGUGGCAACACCGGCAUUGGUUUGGCAGCAAUUGCUGCGGUGAAAGGUUACAAACUUAUACUCACCAUGCCCGCUUCAAUGAGUCUCGAAAGAAGAACUGUGCUACGAGCUCUUGGAGCUGAGGUUCGCCUUUCUGAUCCGGUCAGGUCCUUUCCAGGAGCACUUGAGAAGGCAGAGGAGAUACUAAAUAAAUUACCUGAUGGCUACAUGCUUCAGCAAUUUGAAAAUCCUGCGAAUCCAAAGGUAUAUCUUGCAUCCAUCUAGUACGUGGAUUUGUUGUAGAAGGACUAUAGAUCAUGUUUGUUGCUGAUUUUGUAGAUUCAUUACGAGACCACUGGCCCAGAAAUAUGGAGAGACACCAGUGGGAAAGUUGAUAUCUUGGUUUCAGGAAUUGGAACUGGUGGUACUGCAACUGGAGCUGGAAGAUUCCUCAAGGAGAAGAACAAAGACAUUAAGGUUUAUUCUGGAUGUCUUCUUCUGAGAGACUAUUAUGUCAAAUAUGUUAAAGGAUCUUUUUCUUUGUCUUUUUAAAUCUUAAUUGUGCUCCAACUGGAGUAUGAAUUGGUUUUGCUUUAAUUCCUUUAUGCAUAGGUGUAUGGUAUAGAACCAGAAGAAAGUGCAGUCCUGAAUGGAGAAAAACCUGGUGAGUAAUGAAUUCUUCUAAUUAUUGAAUCUUUUACCGGGCAGCUACAAUCUUGGAGGAAUAAAAGAAAUGUAUAUGUACCAUCAUUGAGGCUUUACUUAUUUUUAGUCUUUUCAUCUUUUAAAGAUGUCACGGAACCAGAAGGUUAAUGGAUGACACAUAUUAAUUGAUUUAUUGUUGCGUGCUCGUGUAUUUACUACUUCAUUCUAAUUCCCUAUGGUUAUCACUCUUUAUAACUAUUCACCGUGGAAAAGAAAAUUGCUUGAUAUACUUGUGACAGGCCCGCAUCUGAUCCAAGGACUUGGUGCUGGAAUCGUUCCUAAUGUUCUGGACGUGGAGUUGCUGGAUGAAGUUUUUAAAGUAAGUUUAAGAACCAUGGUAUCUGGGAUUUUCUCUGAAUGUUCGUUUAACAGUUAGGAACGAAUAAUGAAGCUACUACUAUAACUAUAAAGAACUGGCCUACCAUAUACAAACAUUUGUGUGCCUGAAAAAUGUCGCUUAAUAACUUUUGGUGUCUGUUAUUUUUGUUUAGAUCUCAGGUGAGGAAGCCAUUGAAACUACUAAGCUGCUUGCCCUGAAAGAAGGUUUGCUGGUAGGAAAUGGUUGAUUUCCCUGCUACUGUUGUUGCUUGUUCUCCUUUUCUUUUUGUGCACUUGUGACUAUCUUUUUUCUGCUUUUAUCUUUACAUAGGUGGGUAUAUCUUCUGGGGCUGCAGCAGCAGCUGCAAUUAGAUUGGCAAAGAGACCUGAAAAUGCAGGGAAACUCAUUGUUGUAAGCUUAUUGCCUUCUCCUGUUCAAUAUGCACACCCAACAAGUGACAUUUGUUUGUUGCAGCCAAAGUAAGUUAUAAUUCAAUCCAACACUCCCAUUUAAUCAGAGUAAUUUUUUUCGCUUUCCAUGCAGGCAGUCUUCCCAAGUUUUGGAGAGCGUUACUUAUCUUCCAAGCUUUUUGAUUCAAUCAGGCAAGAGGUGGAAAACAUGACUUACGAAUGACUUCUUCCAAGUUAUCGGUUAAUAGCAGCUUUUGAAAUUUUCAAAUGUUCUAAUUAUACGUAUGUACUUUUCUAUGAAUUGAAAAGUCAAUCAGAAAUAUCAGCAGAAAUCAUUAAAAUCAUUCGAUUCGGAUAAACAUAACCAGAAUAACUUUAAACAGAAGGUGAAUUUCAGACAAUCGAAACUGACGACUAAUUUGGUCAGAGUCAUAGGAUUCGGAUAAACAUAACCAAAAUAACUUUAAACAGACAGUGAAUUUCAGACAAUGUAAAUUGACGACUAAAUUGGUCAGGGGCCGCGCGAACGCUGGCCCCCACUGCCACAAAUUAUGACGUAGGCUCUCCCAACUUGGGGAGACCUUAGGCCAGCACCCCUCCUAAGUGCAAUGGAGGUCACAAACCUAGGCCAUGGACCUUAUUGAUCACCCAUCGACCCCGUCCAGGUAAGUAUGUUUGACAGUUGCUUUGGGCCUUGUAUUUGUAGAUUGGUUCUUGCUCUCUCUUUUCUUUCCUAGCCGAUGUGGGAUUGAAGUUCAAUUUCAACAUAGCAAAAGGCAUGCCAAAGCCAUCACUAAUAAGUUCAAAACGUUCAUUUCAUUUCUUUUUUUAUUGUUCAGUCCAAAACGUUCAAAUUUCAACAUAGCAAAAGUAUCGAGAAAUAUUGCACUCUUGUUUCAUUUGUUUAUCAGGCAGCUCUAAUUGCAGAAAGAGCAUGUAGAUAUUAUUGCUUAUUGGCUCAGCUGCCAAGUAUUUGGUCAUCUAUCAUCUAAUUUUGUAAUUCUUUUCUGUGGAAUGAGAGUUCGUGUUUCUUUUUCUAUCCAA